AUCUUCACUGUCCGUAACACAAAGCAAAAUCAUCUUUAUCUGUUUUGAAAGACUGGAUAACGGUUCUUUGCAAUUUGUUUGUUUAAUACAGGCUUAAUCUCCCUCCAGCCCACUCUCCUGUCUGACACCAAAUCAAAAACUCAACUGAAACAAAAGAAAAAAGGUAAUGGUGACUUCCCUUCACAAACUCCAGCUGAACCUUCCUUGGAGGAAAAUUGCCCCUAAGAGCCCGGGGGGUGGCUCAAUAUGGUGACGUAGGAUGAUCUUGAACUCCCCUCCUCCCAUGAACACACCAAAUCUACAGCUACAUAUGGAACAGUUCCCUCUGAAAAAGACCUGAAAACUAGUUGAGCAACUUCUUCACAUCAGGCAACAAGGAAAAGGCCAAAGUGAAGUGGGUAGCAGAGGCUGAGACACGGUCUCUACCCCAGCAAGGCAACCCACAAUCACAACGUAACUCACAAA